GACGAACGCUGGCGGCGUGCUUAACACAUGCAAGUCGAGCGGUAAGGCCCUUUCGGGGGUACACGAGCGGCGAACGGGUGAGUAACACGUGGGUGACCUGCCCUCAGCUCUGGGAUAAGCCUGGGAAACUGGGUCUAAUACUGGAUAUGACUCCACGGUGCAUGUCGUGGGGUGGAAAGCCUUGUGCGGCUGAGGAUGGGCCCGCGGCCUAUCAGCUUGUUGGUGGGGNGAUGGCCUACCAAGGCGACGACGGGUAGCCGGCCUGAGAGGGCGACCGGCCACACUGGGACUGAGACACGGCCCAGACUCCUACGGGAGGCAGCAGUGGGGAAUCUUGCGCAAUGGGCGAAAGCCUGACGCAGCGACGCCGCGUGAGGAUGACGGCCUGGUGUAAC
rnacentral:rRNA from 1 species